rnacentral:rRNA from 1 species
GCUGGCGGCGUGCCUAAUACAUGCAAGUCGAGCGGACGAUUCAAAAGCUUGCUUUUGAAUCGUUAGCGGCGGACGGGUGAGUAACACGUGGGCAACCUGCCCUGUAGACGGGGAUAACACCGAGAAAUCGGUGCUAAUACCGGAUAACACGAGAGACCGCAUGGUUUUUCGUUGAAAGGCGGCGCAAGCUGUCGCUACAGGAUGGGCCCGCGGCGCAUUAGCUAGUUGGUGAGGUAACGGCUCACCAAGGCGACGAUGCGUAGCCGACCUGAGAGGGUGAUCGACCACACUGGGACUGAGACACGGCCCAGACUCCUACGGGAGGCAGCAGUAGGGAAUCUUCCGCAAUGGACGAAAGUCUGACGGAGCAACGCCGCGUGAGCGAAGAAGGCCUUCGGGUCGUAAAGCUCUGUUGUUAGGGAAGAACAAGUACCGCAGUCACUGGCGGUACCUUGACGGUACCUAACGAGAAAGCCACGGCUAACUACGUGCCAGCAGCCGCGGUAAUACGUAGGUGGCAAGCGUUGUCCGGAAUUAUUGGGCGUAAAGCGCGCGCAGGCGGUUCCUUAAGUCUGAUGUGAAAGCCCACGGCUCAACCGUGGAGGGUCAUUGGAAACUGGGGGACUUGAGUGCAGAAGAGGAGAGCGGAAUUCCACGUGUAGCGGUGAAAUGCGUAGAGAUGUGGAGGAACACCAUUGGCGAAGGCGGCUCUCUGGUCUGUA